rnacentral:rRNA from 1 species
AUUGAACGCUAGCGGGAUGCUUUACACAUGCAAGUCGAACGGCAGCGCGGACUUCGGUCUGGCGGCGAGUGGCGAACGGGGGAGUAAUGUAUCGGAACGUGCCCAGUAGCGGGGGAUAACUACGCGAAAGCGUAGCUAAUACCGCAUACGCCCUACGGGGGAAAGCAGGGGAUCGUAAGACCUUGCACUAUUGGAGCGGCCGAUAUCGGAUUAGCUAGUUGGUGAGGUAACGGCUCACCAAGGCGACGAUCCGUAGCUGGGUUGAGAGGACGACCAGCCACACUGGGACUGAGACACGGCCCAGACUCCUACGGGAGGCAGCAGUGGGGAAUUUUGGACAAUGGGGGCAACCCUGAUCCAGCCAUCCCGCGUGUGCGAUGAAGGCCUUCGGGUUGUAAAGCACUUUUGGCAGGAAAGAAACGUCGCGGGCUAAUACCCCGUGGAACUGACGGUACCUGCAGAAUAAGCACCGGCUAACUACGUG